rnacentral:rRNA from 1 species
GUCUACGGCCAUACCACCCUGAACACGCCCGAUCUCGUCUGAUCUCGGAAGGAAAUGCCAAACAGGAGAGGAAAUGAUAGUUGUGAACU